UACGUAGGGUGCGAGCGUUGUCCGGAAUUAUUGGGCGUAAAGGGCUCGUAGGCGGUUUGUCGCGUCGGGAGUGAAAACCUUGGGCUUAACUCAGGGCUUGCUUUCGAUACGGGCAGACUAGAGGUAUGCAGGGGAGAACGGAAUUCCUGGUGUAGCGGUGAAAUGCGCAGAUAUCAGGAGGAACACCGGUGGCGAAGGCGGCGACCUGGUCCGUUACUGACGCUGAGGCACGAAAGCUAGGGGAGCAAACGGG
rnacentral:rRNA from 1 species